CAGCACCAGUUUUGCCGUAGCUGCUGGGAGCAGCACUGCUCAGUUCUCGUCAAGGACGGCGUGGGCGUGGGAGUCUCUUGUAUGGCUCAGGACUGUCCACUCCGUACACCAGAGGACUUUGUGUUUCCAUUGCUUCCCAAUGAAGAAUUGAGAGAGAAAUACAGGCGCUACCUCUUCAGGGACUAUGUGGAGAGUCAUUACCAGCUCCAGCUGUGCCCUGGUGCAGACUGCCCCAUGGUUAUUCGGGUACAGGAGCCUAGAGCUCGCCGAGUACAGUGCAAUCGGUGCAACGAGGUCUUCUGGUAAGAGUGAGUGUGAGUGCUGAGCAGCCCUGGGCUCAUGCCCCAUCCUCCAAAGCACCACUGCUGUUGCUCCAUGUGAGGGCGGCACUGGAAGAGGCAGGGUCUCUGAGCCAACAGAGCAGCUGUGCUCCAAGUGGUUUCAAGUGUCGUCAGAUGUAUCACGCACCCACAGACUGUGCCACAAUCCGGAAAUGGCUCACGAAGUGUGCAGACGACUCUGAAACAGCCAACUACAUUAGUGCUCACACUAAAGACCCUCAGCGACCUGCCACAUUUAAGUGAGAUG
rnacentral:sRNA from 1 species